UUUGUAAUGGAAACAUUUCCAUCAUUCCAAUGUUCCAGAUUCCAACAGAACAAAUUCACAGAAGACAGCAAGUGAAGAAUUCCAAAUUGUAAUGGCGCAUUCAGUCCAAACAGGAGUAGCAGAUCCAUUGCAGCAAGGGGACCUCAGCCCGGGCUGCUCGGGCGGGAGACCCGGGCGGGCAAGGCUGCGGGGACCGGGUGGUCGGAGGCCCGGGGGGGAGACGCAGGAAAAGACUGGUCUCGGAGGCGGGCAAGAGCUGGGCUGGGACGCGGCGGCUCCGGCGACUCGGGCCUCAGCGGCCACGGUCCACCCGACCGCUCCCCCCCGGCCUGCCCGCCAAGGCGCAGGAAACGCC
rnacentral:lncRNA from 1 species